CUUGCUCCAAGAAACAUUCCAGGUGUGGCUGCUAUGACACAUGUCAGUGGGUGGCAGAGAGGAGGGAGGCUAAGUCUACUGCUUAGAAUUCUGACCUAUGAACAUCUGAAUGACAAGUAGCCUAGCACU